rnacentral:rRNA from 1 species
UACGUAGGUGGCAAGCGUUGUCCGGAAUUAUUGGGCGUAAAGCGCGCGCAGGCGGUCCUUUAAGUCUGAUGUGAAAGCCCACGGCUCAACCGUGGAGGGUCAUUGGAAACUGGGGGACUUGAGUACAGAAGAGAAGAGUGGAAUUCCACGUGUAGCGGUGAAAUGCGUAGAGAUGUGGAGGAACACCAGUGGCGAAGGCGGCCUUCUGGUCCAGUACUGACACUCAAGUGCGAAAGCGUGGGGAGCAAACAGG